rnacentral:rRNA from 1 species
UACGGAGGGAGCUAGCGUUGUCCGGAUUUAUUGGGCGUAAAGAGCGUGUAGGCGGCUAGAUAGGUCCGUUGUGAAAACUCGAGGCUCAACCUCGAGACGUCGAUGGAAACCAUCUGGCUAGAGUCCGGAAGAGGAGAGUGGAAUUCCUGGUGUAGCGGUGAAAUGCGCAGAUAUCAGGAAGAACACCCGUGGCGAAGGCGGCUCUCUGGUACGUGACUGACGCUGAGACGCGAAAGCGUGGGGAGCAAACAGG